rnacentral:lncRNA from 12 species
GGUCAUAAAUGGCUUUCUCCACUGGAGAAAGGACAGGGCCUCCACCCACCACAAACACCCUCUCGCCCGCACUCACCCAGCUGGGGAUUUGCCCAGCUGUUAUUUCUGAGCUGGGGAAACUUUGGGAUUCUUAAAACAAGAAGCCAAGAAGCAGACCUGCGUUUCUGCCCUUGGGGAACUCCGAGUUCUUCCCUGCACAAGGCUGUCAGGGAACCUGGGCCACACCUGCUGCUGGAGGGAAAGGAAGAGUCAUUGGACCUUGCUUUGAACUUGCCAUGCAAUGCGUGUAGGAUUCGAAGUUAAAGGCUGGGACAGGAGAGGACAGGCUGGCCUCUCUUGGUAUUGGAUUUGGAAGUCAAGUGCCAAGAGAAAGCUAUUUGGGAAAGCCAGCGUUUCGGUCCAGACUGCUCUGCAGUGAUGUGCCCCUCCCUGCCUUCCUAAUUCCCUCUGGGUCUUCCUUUGUCCCUGCUUCCAUCUCUGGGUCUCUGUGCCACUGUUCCUUGGCUUUCUACUCAAGGCAGCCUCGAAAAGGUGCUGGGAUUGACUGUUCUCCUUCAACUGGAUGAAUGCGUAGCCCCACCCUUCUCACAAAAAAUAUUCUUCCACCUUCUGUGGCCAGCCCCCCAUCUAAGACUGUAUCAGCACAUCGCCAGGGCAAAAGACUGGCCAGCUGACUCCCAGGGCUCCAUUUUCCAGGCAGACACUGGCAAACUCCUGUCAGUGUCAACCACCAUCUGACCUGGAAAUGCCAACCUGCUGCCAUUCCCCCACAGUCUGAAUUAUGCUGAAAUGAAGUCUCCUUGGCUCAGAGGUUAUUUAAUUUAACUUUAUUUUUUGUCUAGGAUUACAAAAAAGAAAAUAAUUGCCUCCCAGAAGAGGGAAAUCAGGGAUUCCAAGACAGGAAGUGACUGUGACCCAGUGUCAGUGUCAGCCAGGGGUAUCCUCUG